UGGGGUGUUGCCAAGAGGUAAGGCGCCGGAUUCUGAUUCCGGUAUCCGGGGUUCGAAUCCCUGCACCCCAG
rnacentral:tRNA from 1 species